UCCGACCCAAUAUGAUAAAUGUUGUAUGUGGUUCUUGUAUCGUGUAUUGCGUAUCAUGGGUUUGCAUUGACUGCAUGGCCACGCCCACACUCCCCUCGCACCCACGGUUCCGACCAGCACUUAGCUCCACUGGAGACGGAGUUGUUAUGAGUACAGGCUAGAUGGAGGUUAAGUAUGUUUCAGUGUGGAUCAUUGGUGACAGCUAUGUCCAGCAUGGUGGCCAGAGAGCUGCAGAGAGCUUAGGAAGCAGCUUCACUCUCCUGGAUGUCUCUUAGUCUGCAGGCUUCUCCCCUUCUUUUCCCCUCCCUGCGAAGAAUUGCAGCAGUGGAUGUUCUCAUCAGCAUGACGUGUGACGGCCUCUGUCAGAAUACAGGAUAUAAAAGUUCCACCUUCCAUCGUGGCUGGCUGUCUUCCCUGACAGCACCUGCACUCUGCUGCUUUGCUGAACAAUUGUUUUUACUUUUACUCCACAACACCUUAUCCCACAGCAUAUGAACACUACUGAUUUAAAAUGUAAAAUUAUGACGCUGACUUCCUAAGCAUAGGUUCCAUUAUUAUAAUUACUGUUACAACUGUCACACAUUUAUUAAAGUGUAUUAACUGUA